rnacentral:rRNA from 1 species
AACGCUAGCUACAGGCUUAACACAUGCAAGUCGAGGGGCAGCAUGAACUUAGCUUGCUAAGUUUGAUGGCGACCGGCGCACGGGUGAGUAACGCGUAUCCAACCUUCCGUACACUCAGGAAUAGCCUUUCGAAAGAAAGAUUAAUACCUGAUGGUAUGAUGAGAUUGCAUGAAAUCAUCAUUAAAGAUUCAUCGGUGUACGAUGGGGAUGCGUUCCAUUAGAUAGUAGGCGGGGUAACGGCCCACCUAGUCGACGAUGGAUAGGGGUUCUGAGAGGAAGGUCCCCCACAUUGGAACUGAGACACGGUCCAAACUCCUACGGGAGGCAGCAGUGAGGAAUAUUGGUCAAUGGACGAGAGUCUGAACCAGCCAAGUAGCGUGAAGGAUGACUGCCCUAUGGGUUGUAAACUUCUUUUAUAAGGGAAUAAAGUGAGGGACGUGUCCCUUUUUGUAUGUACCUUAUGAAUAAGGAUCGGCUAACUCCGUGCCAGCAGCCGCGGUAAUACGGAGGAUCCAAGCGUUAUCCGGAUUUAUUGGGUUUAAAGGGAGCGUAGGUUGACAUAUAAGUCAGCUGUGAAAGUUUACGGCUCAACCGUGAAAUUGCAGUUGAUACUGUAUGUCUUGAGUGUACAAGAGGUGGGCGGAAUUCGUGGUGUAGCGGUGAAAUGCUUAGAUAUCACGAAGAACUCCGAUUG